UACAGAGGGUGCAAGCGUUGUUCGGAAUUACUGGGCGUAAAGAGCGCGUAGGCGGCGCGGUACGACCGCUGUGAAAGCCCCCAGCUCAACUGGGGAGGGUCAGCGGUAACGGCCGUGCUAUGAGUGCAGGAGAGGGAAGUGGAACUCCGGGAGUAGCGGUGAAAUGCGUAGAGACCCGGAGGAACACCAGUGGCGAAGGCGGCUUCCUGGUCUGCGACUGACGCUGUGGCGCGAAAGCUAGGGGAGCAAACGGG
rnacentral:rRNA from 1 species